CCUGGCCCAGGCAUUCCCCUGUACUGGGGCAUAUGAUCUUUGCAAGACCGAGGGCCUCUCCUCUCAUUGAUGGCUGACUAGGCCAUCCUCUGUUACAUAUGCAACACAGCUCUGAUGGGUGGGGGUGGUACUGGUUCGUUCAUAGUGUUGUUCCUCCUAUUAGUCUUGCUUUUUUGUAAACAGGCUUGGCCAUUCUACCAACUACCUGUAGCUGAUGUGACAAUGGUUCAAGGCAAGGCAGCCAAGGAUUCAGCAACCCUCUCUCGGUCAAAGGGAGUGCCUCCCCUUCCCCAAUAAGUGAAACUUUAUUCCCUUAGAGAAAAGUGGUGAGUAGGCCCCACCCCACCCCCAACCCUGCCAAUUCCUCACUCAGCCUUCCACAGUUAACGCUGUAGGGUCCAUGCUGACCUUGGCAGACUGUAAGGACAGAGUUGACUGGGCCCACCGAGGUGGGAGUUCUGGGGGUCUCCGGUGGAGUGGUGGAGUAUUGGAUGGGUUGAGAUUGGGGUCGAGGGGUGCGAGGGUGGGGCAUGGUGGGUUGGGAGAGUCUCUGCAAGCACCGGGGGUCGCAGAGUAAGGAUCCCAGCG
rnacentral:lncRNA from 1 species